GACGAACGCUGGCGGCGUGCUUAACACAUGCAAGUCGAACGGAGUGGCGAACGGGUGAGUAACACGUGGGUGAUCUGCCUUGCACUUCGGGAUAAGCUUGGGAAACUGUGUCUAAUACCGGAUAGUUCUAGAUGAGCUCGCGGCCUAGCAGCUUGUUGGUGGGGUAAUUGCCUACCAAGGCGUCGACGGGUAGCCGGCCUGAGAGGGUGUACGGCCACAGUGGGACUGAGGUGCGGGCCAUACUCAUACGGGAGGCAGCAGUGGGGAAUAUAGCGCAAUGGGCGGAAGCCUGAUGCAGCGACGCCGCGUGGGGGAUGAAGGCCUUCGGGUUGUAAACUCCUUUCGACAGGGACGCGGUACCUGUAUAAGAAGCACCGGCUAACUACGUGCCAGCAGCCGCGGUAAUUC
rnacentral:rRNA from 1 species